ensembl:lncRNA
CCACGGCCUCGUUCCUCUGCCCUCUCUGCCGCCAAAGUUCACAGAUGGUGGGAAUGUCUGCUCUUGGGGGAUGGGCCAAGAGGUCCCCGAGGGAGCACAUGGGGAGCCCUGGCUAGAGCACUACAAACCCUCUGAACCUCUGCCCAGGUCUGCCACACAGCAACCACAUCCUUCCAGGCAGUCCACUCAUACUUAGACCUCCAUUCAGAGGGAUUCUUGCCAUAUGAUCCUUUUAUUUCUCUUAUAUGUUUACAGAGACUGAAAUAGCUAAUAUCAGUAGUUACAGUGAAUGUAGUUUAAUAAAUGUUUAAACUACGGUUAAAGACAGAGUAGCUGCUUGCCUGAGUCAUCAUAAGAAGGAAAACCAGGAUUAACCUGAAAAGUCAGACAGACGAUCGUUACCAAUCUAUCCCGAGUUGAAAAUUGUAAGUAUUCCAGACUUAUGGCUUUGUUCAAACAUAGCCCAAGCCUCCUCAUGAGGUUCAUGCCCGUUGUGAGGCCUUCAGAAUCGAGCGCCUCUCCACUUCUGCUCGUGACAUGAAGUCAGGGGUUAUUUGCUGCUAUUUUUACAAGAAACGGGUUGAUUUGUCUUAGGCCAUUACCGUCUAUUACGACUGGGAGUCUCUGGGAAGGAGGUGGGAAGCGGCAAACGCUGGCUUUCUGCCUAAAGAGAAAUCAAUGAAACAAAUUAAUCCUUCGCAGGCUGCGGUGACACUGUAAUCCAUCAUUCAGAGGCGCUUUUACACACCGAAUCAGAGAGUCUGGGCUCAGGGAGAAAGCCCCGAGGGACAGGGCUCGCACAACACACUCUGGCACAACACACACACACACACACACACACACACACACACACAGACUUACAAGGCAAGAUCCACACAAGGCUAGACACACAGUAAAGGCAGCUGCCACACAGCUGCAACCCCAUAGUCCUGUGUGUGAACACAGAGGGAUGAAAGACAGAUUAUAAAUACAGCUACUGCAUGAUACAGGACAUAAUCCUGUAUCCAGUAAGUCUUGUGUCUACUGGGCUGUGUCCUCAUAAAGGCAGGACAUUGGGAUUUGCUGUUUACUUAUUCACACUGUACAAAAAACAGGUAUGACAGAAAAGAUUUAUAGGAAGGUCCACCAAAGAGGAGGGGACUACAGGAGGGGAGAGAGAAAGAGAGAGGGGAAUCACAGUGGGGGUGGGCAUUGAAAACAGCGAUCUCUUUUCCACCCACCAUCACCUCACCAUGUGGUGUUGCAUUGUUCAUGUGGCAGCACAUUCACGCACAUUGUUCCAAUGCUCAGACCCUCUGUUGCAUGCGAGCAUUCCCAUGGCUUCUCCUGCAGCCUGCUGAAAAGGGCAGGUGUCAUCACCCACAAAAUUAGGGCUGCGGUCCCCUCAUCAGCACGAAUGGUUAAAAGCUUAGCUAUGCUCCUAUACAAAGGUUAUGCCCAUAGACACCCCACCCCAUGCCAUAAAAAAUCCAGUAAUACAUGCCACAUUGUUGCCAGCCAAUAAGAAAUUCAUAACUACACACAUGAUCCUGCCACGUGAUCCGCAAAGGGAAGCAUCUUGGUCCUUUGAGAGCUGUACACAAUAAUGCCCUCGAUAAACCAUGUGAUAUCAGACAAAGGGAGAGAAAAAAAAGGAAACGACAAGAUGUACAUGCUAGUGGUCAGUUUAUUUCAUUCGAAUACAUGAUGUUUCCUUCAGUAGUGUUCUGUACAAAUACACUAAAGGCUCAGUCACAGUAACAUUUUUUUUUUUUUUUUUUUUUUUAAGAGAUUAACAGUAAAUACACUGUAUAUUUGCUUUCGUGCCAGUCGUAUCUCAGGUGUAUGAGGCGUUCACCUGCGCUCUCAAAAAUUGUAACAGACAUGCCCAAAGCAAGGAAAGGUUGUUAACUUAUAAAUAAGUAAUGCACAACCAGGGGACAGACUGUACCAUUAAUUUCCUUGUCAUCCUAAUAGGGGGUGCCACUUACCUUUAACCAUGCUCUAAUAGAUGAAGAAGCAUAGCUUUUGUUCAUGCUGGCACGGCUGAGUCACAAAUACCUAGAAGGAAAAGUCCAGGACACAACGAGGGACCGAGUGGUAUCAUAUUCGUUCUCUGUGCUCUGUCAGACAUGACAUUAGCAUCAAAUGAUAAUAGUGAACAUUAAGUAAGCCAAUUAUCAUUUUGUAAUAUGAGGAGAUAUUUAGCAGCCACAUACUGUGCAGUCAUGAUUAGGAUAAUAAAAGAUGUGGCUGAAUUAAUUUAUCUUUAUUCUUACUUACUUUCUUUACCCUUUUUUUUUUUUUAAUUUGGGCUUUUACUGUUUUGCUAUCUCUUUCUUAUUUCCAUCUCCGUUAUGUUUGUUGACUUUUUUAUUUAGCCUUUGUGUUUUAUAAAAACAAAUUAUAAUAACUUGUUAUAAUAAAUUAUAAUAAAGUGUGUUUACUUACUUGGAAACUAUACAGAAAAAACAUUUACUGGUCAGUUAUGUACAUACUGUCACAAUCAGAAAGAAAAUCUCAUUGGCAAUCCAGCACAAAUGAAUUUAUCUUCCCCUGUUACACACGAGAGAGACCUGAUGUCAGCAUACACUUGUGCCAACAUGCACUUGUGUUCUUUCUAGAUAUACAUUUAUACAAAUGUACUACUGCAUUCCAGUUGGAACAGUAUAUACAUGCUCAGUAUUUACAUUAUAGUUGUUUAUGUAGUUUAUAUAUCUCUACACAGGUAUUCAAGACACUUAAUAUACAGUACAUUUCCCAAAACAAUGCAGUUGUUAUGCAGGAAGUCCAGGAAGAACACAGCUGUGAAUACAUUUUGUGCUUUUUUAUUAUUAUUUCACAUGAAAUUAAGGCUGUAAUGCAUGUUUCGGACGGGAAUAUUAUAAAGCUAGCCUAGAGGAAUGUGUGUGUUUGGGACUGCUGCAUUCUUUCCUGCUCAGAUCUGAUAGAGCUGAUAGAGAGAGGUGAAAGAGGACACACACAUUGUACAGUGUGAGAGAAGGACAGAGCAUAAACAGAGAUGUAGGCAUAGCACUUCCUGUGUUUGUUUUUCAGUUAGUGUUCCUGUACUGAUUCUUAAUAUGGUUCUUCUGUAUAGCCAAGGCUUCUCAGCUUCCAAAAGGUUUUAGUUCGGAUAAGAAAAGAGUUUCAAGCCGAUCCAAAAGAGUUUCAGUUUAAUGGUUCCCUCGGAGGACAGGACUCUUCAAGGUCCUAUAUUUUACCUUUGAACAUAUGUGAACUCUGUUGCCGUCUGCCAUUUUAACAUGAACAUUUUCAAUCCACUCUGAGCCCCAAUUUUAUGACCUAAGCAUAUAUACUGCUGGAAGAAUGUCAGAGAUGGCAGACAGAUAAAACAGACAAUUUAGCAAGCACAAGUAGAGCUUUUUACGAAGCAGUGACUCACAAAAAAAAUAAUAAUUACAAUCAUUCCCAUUCAAACAUAUUUAUUGGAUGUCUUAGCAAGCAUUCUUCAGUUCAUGUUAUCAUUAUAAACAAUACAAUCAUAGCCGCUGAUUAUGUUGAUGAGGUCAGUGCAUUUUCGUAACAAACAGACAGCAACUAACAGAGCUGUCAUUAUGUGACAUGUGACCACAGCUUUCCAUAUCCGUGCUGAAGAACAUGCUGAAAUGAGAGGCAGGGAAAAGAACGUAUGGGUGGACACACAUGCUUUCAUGAACAAAUUCCAUCAUCUGCCUGCCAGAUGCGAAGAAUGACAGAAAGUGUGUCCAAAAGCCCACACUUAGUCAGUCGCUUUGUCAAAAGAUGACAUUUCAGCAUCGCAGUAAUGACGAGGGACGAUUUCACUCAAAUACUGACAAGACGGACAAAGAUGGAAAACUGACAUUCUCAACUGCCCCUCUCAAUCUGUAGACAUUCACUGGGUAAGACCAAUGCAAAAGCAUCAAGACAGUCCUACUUGACAAGACUAGGCAUGGUUGUUUGUUUUUUUUUUUCAUCCCUGCAGUAACAUUAUGGUGUUAUAUAUAAACUCUAAUACAAUUCGAAUAAACAACAUAUACAGACAGAAAUGUUAUACAGCAGACGAUAUUUUUAUGUAAUUCGAUUACGCUCUUCUAUAUAAGUCACCAGGUGAAAAUUAGUGCUCGCAUUGUAGAAAUGGAUGAGAAAUAUGGAUGAGCCGCCCCAGGGGCAAAAAAAAUCUCCUAUACCGCAUAAACAGUGGUAUUAUGUUGCUGAUAUUAUUAUGAUAUUAUUGCGCUGUGUGUGGGCAUGUGUGUAUAGACAUACCUGCAGCUGCUCAAGUUUCACUGUUAGCCAAACCUGUCAGGAAAUCAGAACAACUUAUUAACACGCAUAAAUAGUUAUGUGUGCUAUUCAUCACACAUACACACACAUCGACACACACACACACACGCAAUCACACACAUUAAUUUUGUUUUAAAGCAAUAAUAUUUAAUCAAAUCAAGCAUGUUAUAUAUAUAUAUAUAUAAAUAUAUGGAAUGAAGCAUGCACAUAUUUACAAUACAAAAUUCAUUUAUAACAUGCAUCAUAUGUUAAGUAUUGCUUUUAGAUUUAAAAAUAAAUAAAUAAAGUACAAUUUCCAUAAACCAGCUACUUUAGAUUAUUUUCAUGCUGUUAUUGAUGUCGGGUUAUAAUACAAGCCCUCGUUUUCCAGGUCCUUCACAGGUACGGUAGCCACAUUAUAUAACUGAGGGCACCUGAUUCCACCAUGCAUCAUAUAAGGACACAGCAAAUCAUUUUCCUAGUUCUUCUCUGCUACACCGGGUUUAAGAACAGAGGAACAAAACAUUUUCUACCCUCGUGCAUUUGCCAGCGUCUCAGUGCACUACCACAGACACACAUACAGUGUUAGCCCAAAAUCCCCAACACUGCUCCAUCUCCAGAAAUGAAGGCUGGCUCAGGCAGACCAAAUUCCAAAUAAGUGCCUGCUGAGUGUUGGUUUAAGUCCACCAUUACGGAGAGGUGCUCUGUGUCACCAGAGAGAGUGCGUGUCUCCAGCUAAAUCCUCUCUUACAGCUUUUUAAAGUGAUCAAUACAGUAUAAUAUAUGCACCGUCCAGAUCAGGCGCUGCUCAGUGACUUCCAACACUUUUACCUAUGCUCUGUAAUUUCCUGAAUUUAUUUGCUUGGUACAUUCCAUGAAAUGCCAAAGCAUGGAUAGGUUUCAGACUAAUAGCCUAUUUUUUGUUAAAUUCAUCGCUUUAUCCAAUACAACGAGAUGUGUACAUUAUUGUCGCUUAUUAUAGAAAUAAUGAAUGCCGUUUCCUUUAAAUGAGCAUGCUAUUUUAUAUGUGUGUGUGUGUGUGUGUGUGUGUGUGUGUGUGUGUGUGUGUGUGUGUCAAAUUUAAUUGAUAAACCUAUUUAAAGUCCAAUCAAAGCAUUCGCUCUUUGCUAUCCCUUGGCGAACUUCACGCGUCCUGUCCAUGUCUCAAAGUUUUAUCUCCAAACCCAAACAAGUUCCAUGUUCACAUUGCGCAGUCUGGUGCACACGUGUCCUUGGUUUUGUUUCCUUUUUUUUUUAAGUGAACCUCAGAGGUGUAACAUAGCCUAAUUUGUUGUGGGUCCAGACUUGUUUUUAACUCUGAGCGAUUUUCUAUGAUCUCGGUCUCUGAGUGCGUCCAACGCAAUUAGCACAUGUGCUCUAAAUAGAUGACGGUUUGUGCGCAAUAAAGCCAUUACUUCCAGCACAAAACUGACAGGCGAUCUCACCAGGCGAUCCUGCCACAAGAUACUUUCAUAAAUACAUAAAUAAAUAAAUCAUCUUUCACUUCCAGCUUGCGUUUUGGACGUCUGAAGAUAUUUAUCAAGUUUACACUUAUAGCAUUUAGCAUACGCCCUUCUCCAGAGUGAUUAGAAGAAGUGAUUCGCAGUCUCAGAAGAAGAAAAAAGAUAUGUCCUUCUCAUGCUAGUACAAAUAGGUCUGGGUUUUAAGAAUAGCAUUAAGCUAGUUAGUACAACAAGAAGUUAGUACAGAAACAAUGGAGGGUGCAAAGCGCCACUAUUCUAGUAUGAAAGCAAUAUAUAGCUAUGUAUGGCCGCUGUAUACAGAUUGCAACACAGUAGCUAUACAGCUAUACACAGCCUACUACAUUAUAUAAAAGUCUUGUCUUAGAGUAAGGAUCUGCAAAAAAAAAAAAUUGUAAUAAUAAUUUUGCCCGGGUUAGUUUUUUGUUUAUCUGUUUAUUUUCUAUAUUUUUUCAUGAUGUAAAAAAAAGUACGGUAUUUAUAUAUAAUUUAUUAUUUAUUUAUUUAUUGUAAAUGGCUUGUAUUAAUAAUGAGCCCUUACUCGCACUUGCAUUAUUCUGAGCACAGGCCCUGCAUUUACCAUAAAGAUGUUAUCACUGAAUAAUUUCACAAAUUGAUUCUUCUUGCUUAGGGCUGAACUAAUUGACCGUUCAACUUGCAAUGAUUGAGGGCUACCAUUUGUUUCUUACUAUUAACAAAUAUAUUUAAAAUAAUAAUAAUAUAAAAUAAU